rnacentral:rRNA from 1 species
UACGUAGGUGGCAAGCGUUGUCCGGAUUUACUGGGUGUAAAGGGCGCGUAGGCGGGAGCGCAAGUCAGAUGUGAAAUCUAUGGGCUUAACCCAUAAACUGCAUUUGAAACUGUGUUUCUUGAGUACUGGAGAGGCAGGCGGAAUUCCUAGUGUAGUGGUGAAAUGCGUAGAUAUUAGGAGGAACACCAGUGGCGAAGGCGGCCUGCUGGACAGCAACUGACGCUGAGGCUCGAAAGCAUGGGUAGCGAACA